rnacentral:rRNA from 1 species
AAUGAACGCUGGCGGUAUGCCUAACACAUGCAAGUCGAACGGACGCACAGUAAGCGCUUGCUCUUAAGGUUGGCGGCUGACGGACGGGUGACGCAUGGAUAGGCUUCUUCUUUUUCGUGGGGGAUUACGUGGAGCCACUUCCGCUACUAGAUCAUACGUUCUACGGGUUAAAGCAAGGGUUCUUGGCGCCUUUGGUGAUACAAUUAGACGAUUUCGUGUUGGAUUAGCUAGUUGGUAAGGUAACGGCUUACCAAGGCUACGAUGCUUAGCCGAUCUGAGAGGAUGAUCAGCCACACUGGAACUGAGACACGGUCCAGACUCCUACGGGAGGCAGCAGUAGGGAAUCUUGCACAAUGGGCGAAAGCCUGACGCAGCCACGCCGCGUGAGUGAUGAAGGUCUUCGGAUCGUAAAGCUCUGUUAUUAGGAAAGAAAAGAUGUAUAAGUAUAUGCCGAUAUUCUGACGGUACCCAAACAGUAAGCACCGGCUAACUACGUG